ACGACUUUGAGGUAGUGGUUAACCUGGUUCCCUCCCAUCUUCCUACAUGUGGACAGGAACAUACACGGGUUCGAAUCCCGUAAGUCGUA